GAUGAAGAACGCAGCGAAAUGCGAUAAGUAAUGUGAAUUGCAGAAUUCAGUGAAUCAUCGAAUCUUUGAACGCACAUUGCGCCCGCCAGUAUUCUGGCGGGCAUGCCUGUUCGAGCGUCAUUUCAACCCUCAGGCCCCCAGUGCCUGGCGUUGGGGAUCGGCGCGGCGCCCUCCGGGGCGCUGCCGGCCCCGAAAUUCAGUGGCGGUCUCGCUGUAGCCCUCCUCCGCGUAGUAGCACAACCUCGCGGCCUGGAGCUCGGCGGUGGCCAUGCCGUAAAACACCCCACUUCUGAGAGUUGACCUCGGAUCAGGUAGGAAUACCCGCUGAACUUAAGCAUAUCAAUAAGCGGAGGA
rnacentral:misc_RNA from 1 species